rnacentral:rRNA from 1 species
GUGUCAGCAGCCGCGGUAAUACAGAGGGGGCAAGCGUUGUUCGGAAUUACUGGGCGUAAAGGGCGCGUAGGCGGCCUGCUAAGUCGAACGUGAAAUCCCUGGGCUCAACCCAGGAACUGCGUCCGAUACUGGUUGGCUUGAAUCCGGGAGAGGGAUGUGGAAUUCCAGGUGUAGCGGUGAAAUGCGUAGAUAUCUGGAGGAACACCGGUGGCGAAGGCGACAUCCUGGACCGGUAUUGACGCUGAGGCGCGAAAGCCAGGGGAGCAAACGGGAUUAGAUACCCCCGUAGUCC